GAAAUAAGAGGUGAGAAGAAGGGUGAAAGGAGUUUGAAAGAAGAGUGGAAAGUCAUAUUUUUUGGUGGGGUCCCCAGUCUCCUAGGUUCAACAUGUUCUUCAGUAUGACCCUGGGACUGAAAUAAAACCAUUCAUCCUAGAGAGAAGCUGCUAAGGACAUUGGAAAAAGAACUUGUUUACCAGAGCUGAAGCAGCCUUACAACCACCAUGAGGGAAGGGCCAAGAGAAUAGCAGAGACCUCCAUGUUGACAUUCUUUUUAAAAAAAAUUUUUUUAUUUCCAUAAGUUUUGGGGAGAACAGGUGGUAUUUGGUUACAUGAGUAAGUUCUUUAGUGGUGAUUUGUGAGAUUUUUGGUGUACCUAACACCCAAGAAGUAUAUACUGAACCCAAUCUGUAGUCUUUUUUCCCCCACCCUCUUCCCACCGUUUCCCCCCAAAGCCCCCAAAGUCCAUUGCAGCAUUCCAUGUUGACAUUCUUAAACCAGGAAACCAACACCAGCCUCUGCCAAAGGCUGAACUUUUCAUUUUGAUUAAAAAUAUAAA